rnacentral:rRNA from 1 species
AUGGAAACCCUGAAUAGUGGAGGGCGGACAGCGAGUACAAUGGCGGCAGUGUUUGACGAUUGUUAUUUUUUUGCUUGUGAUUUUACCAUUACUAGAUUUGAGCAAUGUAAUAGGGAAGCCAAUAGGGUUACCCAUGAACUUGCUAAGUUAGCUAGAUUUUCUUCAACUUUUAAUUGGUUUGAGGAGCCCUUGAGUGAAAUUGUACCCCUGCUCAUAAGCGAUGUACUUGUUAUUGCAAAUAAAUAA